GUCUGUCGCAGAGCUGAACGCAGCGUCGCUCCAAUUGUGCGCUCUGGGGAGGCUGAUCCAGAUAUUGCCAGGUUUUUAAACAGAUUAAGCGACUACCUUUUCACUGUGGCCAGAUAUGCCGCCCUAAAAGAAAACAACAAGGAGAUAAUCUACAAAAGACCUGAAUAAUACUUGAUUAUAAUAAAACACUUCAUACAUA